CUCCCCGCUCCCACGCGUGGGUCCAGGCCGCUUCCCAGCGCCGCCGAGCCGAGCGCGACAGGACGCGCGGGGCCGGGCAGCGCCGCGGCGAAGUUGGCCCCGGCCGGUCCCGAUCCCCCGUGCCCGGUCCCCGGUCCGGGGCGAGGGGAGGCCACCCCUCAACGACACCCAGAGGAGGCUCAGACAUGAUGGGAAGAUUAAUUUAUCCCAUCGAAACAGCAGAGGGAAUUCAGGAAAGCUGGAAGAGGCUUAAACAGAUGAACUCAAGAAGCGAUCAGAAGAAAGGAUCAAAAUCUCCCCCCAACUUGGGAUGCUGAGGUGUCUCAGCUGAACAUCACAGCUGUUCAAAAAGCCUCUAGGUCACUUGGUCUGUCCCGAAUCCGAUCAACGUGAGCAGAAGACAGGGAGAAGCCAGCAAGUCCUUUGCACAGGAGCAAGGAGAGAUUGUUGCUUUGCCAUGGGGCUCCCCCAGCUCUGCAGCACUUGUCACCCCGUGCCUUGGCCACAUGGCACGCUGCUGCAAGGGUGCAAGUGUGGACUGACCUGGUGGUUCCUAGCCAUCACACACAGCACAGGGUUGCAAACAGCAGCCAGGACUCUCUGCCACCUCAGGCAGUACCCUACCAUCUCAAAAAGCAGCUUGCAUGAAGGCUGUUGAAGCAAGUGUGACCAUUAUCCCACGUUUUUGUGGCAGGUAAGCUCUGCCUUUGCUUCUGUGCUGUAAUGGGAAAAAAAAAAAAAAAAAGAGCAGUGCUUAUGCUGAACAAUGUUCUCCCCAUGUGCCCUCAGAGAAGACCACAAAUGUUAGAGACGGCUCUGGCCUAAUACCAGGAGAAUUGUAAGUUAAAGCUCUUUUAAAAAGUAAGAGCUUUAUAGUUGGCUGUCUCCUUUCCCUCACGUAGAUAACAGAACUGUAGCUUGUCCUACAUCUGCACCCUAAACCGGAGGGUCAAACAUGAAGCUGUGAAGCUCUCACCUGCUCCACUUGGGAGAUGAUAUCGCUCUGCACCUCCUCACCUGCUGCUGCAAUCAGAAAGGGAAAUGGAGGAAUUCCUGCGGGCUUUUUGCCACUAUUGGAGUUGCAAGCAGAUCUUUUUCAGUAACUGUAAAGGAUUUUUUUUUCUUUUUAAUUAAAUUGCAAGCGUUCUUCUCUAGCAAACU